GUGGAUGAGGCAUGCAAGUCGAACGAAAUUGUAGGGCAACUUAUAAUUUAGUGGCGGAAGGGCUAGUAAUACAUGGGUAACUUACCUCUAACCUGGGGAUAACGGCUGGAAACGGCCGCUAAUACCGAGUGAGGUGUGCCGAGGCAUCUCGGCUACAUCAUAGUGGGGGAUCGCAAGACCUUACGGUAAGAGAGAGGCCCAUGGGGUAUCAGCUAGUUGGUGAGGUAAAAGCUUACCAAGGCUAAGACGUCUAGGCGGAUUGAGAGAUUG
rnacentral:rRNA from 1 species